GGAUGGGUCUGCGGCCGAUUAGGUAGUUGGUUAGGUAACGGCUUACCAAGCCGUUGAUCGGUACGGGUUGUGAGAGCAAGAGCCCGGAGAUGGAACAUGAGACAAGGUUCCAGGCCCUACGGGGUGCAGCAGGCGCGAAACCUCCGCAAUGUGAGAAAUCGCGACGGGGGGAUCCCAAGUGCCAUUCUUAACGGGAUGGCUUUUCAUUAGUGUAGAAAGCUUUUGGAAUAAGAGCUGGGCAAGACCGGUGCCAGCCGCCGCGGUAACACCGGCAGCUCUAGUGGUAGCAAUUUUUAUUGGGCCUAAAGCGUCCGUAGCCGGUUUAAUAAGUCUCUGGUGAAAUCCUGUAGCUUAACUGUGGGAAUUGCUGGAGAUACUAUUAGACUUGAGACCGGGAGAGGUUAGAGGUACUCCCAGGGUAGAGGUGAAAUUCUGUAAUCCUGGGAGGACCGCCUGUUGCGAAGGCGUCUAACUGGAACGGUUCUGACGGUGAGGGACGAAAGUUAGGGGCGCGAACCGGAUUAGAUACCCGGGUAGUCCUAACUGUAAACGAUGCGGACUUGGUGUUGGGGUGGCUUUGAGCUGCUCCAGUGCCGAAGGGAAGCUGUUAAGUCCGCCGCCUGGGAAGUACGGUCGCAAGACUGAAACUUAA
rnacentral:rRNA from 1 species